CUUCGUUCAUUGGGAUAAUCUUUGUGUCACGUGACACGAAGAGUGAAGCAAAGUGUCUAGUUAUUGGGAGAAUGCUUUCUAGCUAGAAAAAUAAAGAACAACUUCAUGGAAUUCUUGAAGGAGUUCCCACAUAUGCUGAGCACUUGUUGGCUGCUUUUCCUUCACUCUGUGGUCCAACUCAUCCCAAACCAUCUCAAUUUGGUUGAGGUCUGGGGAUUGCGGAGGCCAAGUCAUCUGAUGCAGCACUCCAUCAAUCUCCUUGAUAAAAAAAAUAGCCCUUACACAGUCUGGAGAGCUGUCCAUUCUGAGUCAACCUAGAACCAUGACCCCACUUGGCCUGUUCUACCACUGACCAGCUGCUUCUGGACCCCACUGCAACUCCCCAUUAGUCAAGCUCUCGUUUCUUUCAGGCCUUUCCUGAGCUUUUUUUUAUUUAUCUGACUGUUGUCUCGGCCAAGGACCUAUAGCAGCAUUUCCAAAACUCUGUCCUGGGGACCCAAAGGGGUGGACAUUUGGGGGUUUUGCACAAAAUAAAAUAUAAUCAAAGUUUAUUGGUCGCUGAUGUCGAAAGCACACACUCGGCA